GAUGAACGCUGGCGGCGUGCCUAAUACAUGCAAGUCGAGCGAACAGACGAGGAGCUUGCUCCUCUGACGUUAGCCGAGGACGGGUGAGAAACACGUGGAUCACCUACCUAUCAGACUGGGAUAACUUCGGGAAACCGGAGCUAAUACCGGAUAAUAUAUUGAACCGCAUGGUUCAAUAGUGAAAGACGGUUGUGCUGUCACUUAUAGCUGGAUCCGCGCCGCAUUAGCUAGUUGGUGAGGUAACGGCUUACCAAGGCAACGAUGCGUAGGCGACCUGAGGGGGGGAUCGGCGGCACUGGAGGUGGGACGCGGUCCAGACUCCUACGGGAGGCAGCAGUAGGGAAUCUUCCGCAAUAGGCGAAAGCCUUACGGAGCAACGCCGCGUGAGUGAUGAAGGUCUUGGGAUCGUAAAACUCUGUUAUUGGGGAAGAACAAAUGUGUAAGUAACUAUGCACGUCUUGACGGUACCUAAUCAGAAAGCCACGGCUAACUACGUG
rnacentral:rRNA from 1 species